UACAGAGGUCCCAAGCGUUGUUCGGAUUUACUGGGCGUAAAGGGCGCGUAGGCGGCCUGUGCAAGUCAGUUGUGAAAUCUCCGAGCUUAACUCGGAACGGUCAACUGAUACUGCUCGGCUAGAGUGCGGAAGGGGCAACCGGAAUUCUUGGUGUAGCGGUGUAAUGCGUAGAUAUCAAGAGGAACACCUGCGGCGAAGGCGGGUUGCUGGGCCGACACUGACGCUGAGGCGCGAAAGCUAGGGGAGCGAACGGG
rnacentral:rRNA from 1 species